rnacentral:rRNA from 1 species
GACGAACGCUGGCGGCGCGCCUAACACAUGCAAGUCGAACGGAGCUGUUUUCUCUGAAGUUUUCGGAUGGAAGAGAGUUCAGCUUAGUGGCGAACGGGUGAGUAACACGUGAGCAACCUGCCUUUCAGUGGGGGACAACAUUUGGAAACGAAUGCUAAUACCGCAUAAGACCACAGUGUCGCAUGGCACAGGGGUCAAAGGAUUUAUCCGCUGAAAGAUGGGCUCGCGUCCGAUUAGCUAGAUGGUGAGGUAACGGCCCACCAUGGCGACGAUCGGUAGCCGGACUGAGAGGUUGAACGGCCACAUUGGGACUGAGACACGGCCCAGACUCCUACGGGAGGCAGCAGUGGGGAAUAUUGCACAAUGGGGGAAACCCUGAUGCAGCGACGCCGCGUGGAGGAAGAAGGUCUUCGGAUUGUAAACUCCUGUCCCAGGGGACGAUAAUGACGGUACCCUGGGAGGAAGCACCGGCUAACUACGUG